CCUAAAGAACCUACUAUCGUGUGUAAUACCAUCAUAUCAGCUGCUGUUAACUAUCAGUACCUGAAUUUUGGAGGGAACACAUUCAAACUAUAGCAUUUAUUUAGGCUAAAAAGAUAGUUCAUUGUCAGUGUAUGAAAAACCUACUGAUUUUUUACGUUGAUUUUAUAUACUGCAACUUUAUUGAAUUCUCAACAAAUGGUGUUGAAAAAACUGGAUGUCCUCAUGAAGAAGACUGAAAUUGAACACAUCACAUCCCAUAUACAAGAAUCAACUCAAAGUGCAGACCAGAUUUAUU